rnacentral:rRNA from 1 species
AGAGACCACAGGGAUUGCCCUAGUAACGGCGAGUGAAGCGGCAACAGCUCAAAUUUGAAAUCUGGCUCUUUUAGAGUCCGAGUUGUAAUUUGCAGAGGGCGCUUUGGCUUUGGCAGCGGUCCAAGUUCCUUGGAACAGGACGUCACAGAGGGUGAGAAUCCCGUACGUGGUCGCUGGCUAUUGCCGUGUAAAGCCCCUUCGACGAGUCGAGUUGUUUGGGAAUGCAGCUCUAAAUGGGAGGUACAUUUCUUCUAAAGCUAAAUAUUGGCCAGAGACCGAUAGCGCACAAGUAGAGUGAUCGAAAGAUGAAAAGCACUUUGGAAAGAGAGUCAAACAGCACGUGAAAUUGUUGAAAGGGAAGCGCUUGCAGCCAGACUUGCUUGCAGUUGCUCAUCCGGGCUUUUGCCCGGUGCACUCUUCUGUAGGCAGGCCAGCAUCAGUUUGGGCGGUAGGAUAAAGGUCUCUGUCACGUACCUCUCUUCGGGGAGGCCUUAUAGGGGAGACGACAUACUACCAGCCUGGACUGAGGUCCGCGCAUCUGCUAGGAUGCUGGCGUAAUGGCUGUAAGCGGCCCGUCUUGAAACACGGACCAAGGAGUCUAACAUCUAUGCGAGUGUUUGGGUGUCAAGCCCGAGCGCGUAAUGAAAGUGAACGGAGGUGGGAACCCGCAAGGGUGCACCAUCGACCGAUCCUGAUGUCUUCGGAAGGAUUUGAGUAAGAGCAUGGGCUGUUGGGACCCGAAAGAUGGUGAACUAUGCUUGAAUAGGGUGAAGCCAGAGGAAACUCUGGUGGAGGCUCGCAGCGGUUCUGACGUGCAAAUCGAUCGUCAAAUUUGGGCAUAGGGGCGAAAGACUAAUCGAACUUCC